rnacentral:rRNA from 1 species
GUGCCAGCAGCCGCGGUAAUACAGAGGGUGCGAGCGUUAAUCGGAAUUACUGGGCGUAAAGCGCGCGUAGGCGGUUUUGUAAGUCGGGUGUGAAAUCCCCAAGCUUAACUUGGGAACUGCAUUCGAGACUGCAUAGCUAGAGUAUGGGAGAGGGAAGUGGAAUUUCAGGUGUAGCGGUGAAAUGCGUAGAUAUCUGAAGGAACAUCAGUGGCGAAAGCGACUUCCUGGACCAAUACUGACGCUCAUGUGCGAAAGCGUGGGGAGCAAACAGGAUUAGAAACCCCUGUAGUCC